GACGAACGCUGGCGGCGUGCUUAACACAUGCAAGUCGUACGGUAAGGCCCUUUCGGGGGUACACGAGUGGCGAACGGGUGAGUAACACGUGAGUAACCUGCCCACAACUUUGGGAUAACGCUAGGAAACUGGUGCUAAUACUGGAUAUGUGCUCCUGCUGCAUGGUGGGGGUUGGAAAGCUCCGGCGGUUGUGGAUGGACUCGCGGCCUAUCAGCUUGUUGGUGGGGUAGUGGCCUACCAAGGCGGCGACGGGUAGCCGGCCUGAGAGGGUGACCGGCCACAUUGGGACUGAGAUACGGCCCAGGCUCCUACGGGAGGCAGCAGGGGGGAAUAUUGCACAAUGGGCGCAAGCCUGAUGCAGCAACGCCGCGUGCAGGAUGACGGCCUUCGGGUUGUAAACCGCGUUCAGCAGGGACGAAGCUUUUUGUGACGGUACCUGCAGAAGAAGCACCGGCUAACUACGUG
rnacentral:rRNA from 1 species